rnacentral:rRNA from 1 species
AGAAUCAACGCUGGCGGCGUGCCUAACACAUGCAAGUCGAACGCGAAAGGGGAGCAAUCCCUGAUUAGAGUGGCAAACGGGUGAGUAACACGUGGGUGACCUGCCUUCGAGUGGGGGAUAACCUUCCGAAAGGAGGGCUAAUACCGCAUGACACACCGUGUUUGGAUACAUGGAUAUCAAAGCCGGGGAUCGCAAGACCUGGCGCUUGAAGAGGGGCCCGCGUCCGAUUAGCUAGUUGGUGGGGUAACGGCUCACCAAGGCUCCGAUC